rnacentral:rRNA from 1 species
UGAAGCUGGAAUUGCUAGUAAUGGCAGGUCAGCAUACUGCCGUGAAUACGUUCCCGGGCCUUGUACACACCGCCCGUCACACCAUGAGAGUUGGAAAUACCCGAAGCCUGUGAGCUAACAGUAAUGAGGCAGCAGUCGAAGGUAGAGCCAAUGAUUGGGGUGAAGUCGUAACAAGGUAUC